rnacentral:rRNA from 1 species
UCGCGGCCUAUCAGCUUGUCAGUGAGGUAAUGGCUCACCAAGGCUUGGACGGGUAGCCGGCCUGAGAGGGCGACCGGCCACACUGGGUCUGAGAUACGGCCCCGACUCCUACUGGAGGCCGCAGUGGGGAAUAUUGCACAAUGGGCGCAAGCCUGAUGCAGCAACCCCGCGUGCGGGAUGACCCCCUUCGGGUUGUAAACCGUUUUCAGUAGGGACGAAGCUAACGUGACGGUACCUACAGAAGAAGGACCGGCUAAAUACGUGCCAGCAGCCGCGGUGAUACGUAGGGUCCGAGCGUUGUCCGGAAUUAUUGGGCGUAAAGGGCUUGUAGGCGGUCCGUCGCGUCACGAGUGAAAACUCGGGGGUUAACCCCCAGCAUGCUUUUGAUACGGGCGGACUAGAGGGACCCAGGGGAGAACGGAAUUUUUGGUGGAGCGGUGGAAUGUGCAGAUAUCUGGAGGAACACCGGUGGCGAAGGCGGUUCUCUGGGCAUCACCUGACGCUGAGAAGCGAAAGCGUCGGGAGCAAACAGGGUUAGAUACCCUGGUAGUCCACGCCGUAAACGGUGGGCACUAGGUGUGGGGGACAUUCCACGUUCUCCGUGCCGAAGCUAACGCAUUAAGUGCCCCGCCUGGGGAGUACGG